AACGAACGCUGGCGGCAUGCCUAACACAUGCAAGUCGAACGAGACCUUCGGGUUUAGUGGCGCACGGGUGCGUAACGCGUGGGAACCUGCCUUUAGGUUCGGAAUAACUCAGAGAAAUUUGAGCUAAUACCGGAUGAUGUCUUCGGACCAAAGAUUUAUCGCCUUUUGAUGGGCCCGCGUUGGAUUAGCUAGUUGGUGGGGUAAAGGCCUACCAAGGCGACGAUCCAUAGCUGGUCUGAGAGGAUGAUCAGCCACACUGGGACUGAGACACGGCCCAGACUGCUACGGGAGGCAGCAGUGGGGAAUAUUGGACAAUGGGCGAAAGCCUGAUCCAGCAAUGCCGGGUGAGUGAUGAAGGCCUUAGGGUUGUAAAGCUCUUUUACCCGAGAUGAUAAUGGCAGUAGCGGGAGAAUAAGCACCGGCUAACUCCGUG
rnacentral:rRNA from 1 species